rnacentral:rRNA from 1 species
UACGGAGGGUGCAAGCGUUGCUCGGAAUUAUUGGGCGUAAAGGGUAGGUAGGUGGUCUCAUUUGUCUGGGGUGAAAGCCUUGAGCUUAACUCAAGAAGUGCCCCAGAAACGGUGAGACUGGAGUUCUGGAGAGGGUCGUGGAAUUCCCGGUGUAGCGGUGAAAUGCGUAGAGAUCGGGAGGAACACCAGAGGCGAAGGCGGCGACCUGGACAGAUACUGACACUGAACUACGAAAGCGUGGGGAGCAAACAGG